rnacentral:rRNA from 1 species
AAAUCUGCCCAUGUGCCCGGGACAACAGAUGGAAACGUCUGCUAAAACCGGAUAGGUGGCAAGGAGGCAUCUUCUUGCGAUUAAAGGGGCUACGGCCUUGAACAUGGAUGAUCCUGCGGUGCAUUAGCUGGUUGGUGAGGUAACGGCUCACCAAGGCGAUGAUGCAUAGCCGAUCUGAGAGGGUGAACGGCCACAUUGGGACUGAGACACGGCCCAA